rnacentral:rRNA from 1 species
GGGAUGGACCGCCUCGGCGGAAAGUCAAACUGAGUGAUUCUAUGCUUCCGAGAAAAGCUGCGGGCCGAGCAUUCCGGCUGUCCGUACCGCAAACCGACUCAGGUGGGCGGGAAGAGUAUUCCAAGGCGUUUGAGAGAACCGUGGUUAAGGAACUAGGCAAAAUUGACACCGUAACUUCGGGAUAAGGUGUGCCUCCGAGGUAGAGCUGAACAGGCCGAGCCAGAAGAGGUCGCAGAGAAUUGGGGGUAGCGACUGUUUACCAAAAACACAGGACUGUGCGAAGUCACGAAGACGACGUAUACGGUCUGACGCCUGCCCGGUGCUGGAAGGUUAAGAGGAGAGGUUAGAGCAAUCGAAGCUUUGAAUCGAAGCCCCAGUAAACGGCGGCCGUAACAAUAACGGUCCUAAGGUAGCGAAAUUCCUUGUCGGGUAAGUUCCGACCUGCACGAAUGGCGUAACGACUUCCCCGCUGUCUCAACCAUGGACUCAGUGG